AUGUGGACCUGUCUUCGUCAGCGCUAUGAGCCCUCUGGUGAUGCCUUAUACCUUUCUGUGGUUCGUCAGGAGCAUGCUCUUCAGCAGGGUGACUCUACUGUUGAUGACUUUUAUGCACAGAGUUCUGCUAUCUGGCGCCAGCUUGAUUCUCUCCGCAGUGCUGGUUGUCGUACUUGCCCCUGCUGCCAGGCUGUCCAGGCCAAUUUGGAGUUUCAUCGCGUCUACGAGUUCCUGUCUCGGCUCCGUAAGGAGUUUGAGCCCCGGCGUGCUCAGUUGUUUGCUCGUGGCCGUAUUUCUCUCAUGGAGGCGCUUUCAGAGAUUCGUGCUGAGGAGACUCGCUUACGUGGUGCUGGUUUGCUGGAGGUUCCCUCUGUGCUCGCUAAUCGGGCUUCUUCCACUCCACCUGCUGCACCGCCCCAUUCUCGCUCGAGUGCUCCGCCGCUCUUGCCCACUCCUUCUGGAGGCUCAGGUCGCCCCCGUCCACAUUGUGACUACUGCAACAAUGAUGGCCAUAUUGAGUCCCAGUGCUACACAAAGCGGAAACACCUGCGCAAGGCGCGAUCAUCCUCCUCAGGGACUUCGUCAUCUCCCUCGACAGCUUCAGCCAUUGCUUUGACUGAGCAGGAUAUUCUGAGACUUAAGCGUCUGCUCGCGGCUUCAGGUUCUUCCUCGACGGGUACUGCUGGUUCUGUGACUGAUGCUUCUCGGACUGAGCACCCGCCCUCUACACAGUCAGGUACAUCCCCAUGGGUUCUGGACUCUGGAGCUUCUUUUCAUAUGUCUUCUCAUUCUUCCGCUUUGUCCUCUCUUCGAUCGCUGGAUUCUCCUGUUCAUGUCUUCACUGCUGAUGGUACUCCACUUUCUGUUGCUAGUAGAGGCCAUCUUUCCACUCCUUCUUAUUCUGUUCCUGAUGUUGCUCAUGUUCCUCGACUUACCAUGAAUCUGUUUUCUGCCGGUUAA
rnacentral:rRNA from 1 species